AUAUAAUCUGUCUAGAGCAUGAGCUAAAUUAUAUUUGUAAAAGAACAUAUUAUUUAAUCUGGUAUGCUUUACCUAAAUAUUUAAUUAUGUUAUUAUAUCUUGUCUUAUAAUGGAGUUUUAAUGCAAGUUCGGGGUUUCUAUUUACUGUUUAAGUGUUUAACAGAACCGAUUAAUCUCCGGUGAGGACGUUGGUCAGCCUGAAAAGUAGGUCGUAAGCUUAGGAGAAGCGUGUUAGACCUUGAUUGGUGGUCCCGUCACUGAGAAAACACUUAGCUGUCUAUAGUGUAAUGCCAUUAAAACUUGUUAAGAUUCCAUAAGCCAUAGAUGUACCUGCAUAAUUGUAUUUAGUUAUUGCAUGCUUGCUUAUAAGAAUAUGUCUGUUUUAUAAAUAUAUAUUUGCUCUGUUAGUCUCUAGGCAGUUUUGUUAAAACUAUGAAUAGCCAUGUCAAAAAUACUGUUAAUUUAUCUUCUCAAGCAACUCCGAUUGCUACUAUUGAAAAUGAUCUUCAAAACUGGAGUAUUCCAGAAGAAUCUUUCAAUACAAUUUAUCAAAUUGGAAAAUUUAGUUUUUUGAAAAAAC
rnacentral:lncRNA from 1 species